rnacentral:rRNA from 1 species
GAGUUUGAUCAUGGCUCAGGAUGAACGCUGGCGGCGUGCCUAACACAUGCAAGUCGAACGGAGUCAUUUUGGAAAGUUCUUCGGAACUGGAAUCUAUGACUUAGUGGCGGACGGGUGAGUAACGCGUGAGCAAUCUGCCUUUCAGAGGGGGAUAACAGCCGGAAACGGCUGCUAAUACCGCAUAACGCAUCGAGGUCACAUGGCUUUGAUGCCAAAGUAUUUUAUCGCUAGAAAGAUGAGCUCGCGUCUGAUUAGCUAGUU